CCUACGGGAGGCAGCAGUCGAGAAUCAUUCACAAUGGGGGAAACCCUGAUGGUGCGACGCCGCGUGGGGGAAUGAAGGUCUUCGGAUUGUAAACCCCUGUCAUGUGGGAGAAAAUGAAAAAGAUAGUACCACAAGAGGAAGCGACGGCUAACUCUGUGCCAGCAGCCGCGGUAAUACAGAGGUCUCAAGCGUUGUUCGGAAUCACUGGGCGUAAAGCGUGCGUAGGCUGUUUCGUAAGUCGUGUGUGAAAGGCGCGGGCUCAACCCGCGGACGGCACAUGAUACUGCGAGACUAGAGUAAGGGAGGGGGGAGCGGAAUGCUCGGUGUAGCAGUGAAAUGCGUAGAUAUCGAGAGGAACACUCGUGGCGAAGGCGGGUUCCUGGACAUUAACUGACGCUGAGGCACGAAGGCCAGGGGAGCGAAAGGGAUUAGAUACCCCAGUAGUC
rnacentral:rRNA from 1 species